GUUGGUGAGGUAACGGCUCACCAAGGCUUCGACGGGUAGCUGGUCUGAGAGGACGAUCAGCCACACUGGGACUGAGACACGGCCCAGACUCCUACGGGAGGCAGCAGUGGGGAAUCUUGCACAAUGGGCGAAAGCCUGAUGCAGCAACGCCGCGUGAGGGACGAAGGCUUUCUGAGUUGUAAACCUCUUUCAGCAGGGACGAUUGUGACGGUACCUGCAGAAGAAGCCCCGGCCAACUACGUGCCAGCAGCCGCGGUAAUACGUAGGGGGCAAGCGUUGUCCGGAUUUAUUGGGCGUAAAGAGCUCGUAGGCGGCUUGGCAAGUCGGAUGUGAAACCUCCAGGCUCAACCUGGAGUCGCCAUUCGAUACUGCCAUGGCUAGAGUUUGGUAGGGGACCACGGAAUUCCUGGUGUAGCGGUGAAAUGCGCAGAUAUCAGGAGGAACACCAGCGGCGAAGGCGGUGGUCUGGGCCAAUACUGACGCUGAGGAGCGAAAGCGUGGGGAGCGAACAGGAUUAGAUACCCUGGUAGUCCACGCCGUAAACGUUGGGCACUAGGUGUGGGGACCUAUCGACGGUUUCUGUGCCGCAGCUAACGCAUUAAGUGCCCCGCCUGGGGGAGUACAA
rnacentral:rRNA from 1 species